rnacentral:lncRNA from 1 species
GGUAUUGAAGAAUUGUUCAUCAUGUCAGAGUCUUUUUCCAGAACUUGCCAUUGACUUGUACUCAUAAUGGCAUUCAAGGAACAAUAUCAGAGGGAGUAUAACAACUCCAGAAAGCAUAGCACACAACAUAAUCUUGGUCUCAGGUACGUAUGAUCCUCUCAAUCUACGAUAUGGUGUAAAAGCCAUGAUGCUUCGCUGAGGAGAAAUUCUUCUGUUUCCGAGCGAGGAGUGGUGUUGUCUUCCUUGGUUCCCCUCUUUGGACACAGCUUCACUCGGGAUGCGUGAAUCCAGAUGUCGUGGGAAUCUGUGAGGACAGCGGUUCUGGGUACAGCAAUCACAGUAGCAGGUGGUCCAAAAGGGUAUCCUCCUUUCUUGGUCCUGUUCAACUGACGGAUAUACACCUUGUCACCGGGCUGGUAUGAAUGAGUAGGUUCCUGUGAAGGUAAGGGAAAACUGCGAAGAAACAUUGUCAUACAUACCAUUCGGUUUUAUCAACAAUUCACCUUGUGGGGAUAUAUUCUUAUCUCAGCUAAAAUAGCUGGUAGAUAUCUAGUCCAAUUUACCCAUGUUCCUGGGUAAAUUCUGGGCUUUUCCUUAAUAGUCCUAUUCAUCCUUUCAACUACCCCUGUAUUCUGUGGAUGAUAGGGUAUAUGAAACUGCCAGGUAACUUGCAAGAAUUUAGCAAGUUCCUGGGCAACCUUACUGGCAAAAACCGGGCCAUUAUCAGAGCCAAUCUGGAGAGGGCAGCCAUACCUGGGAAUAAUUUCAGUAACAAUAAUCUUCACUAGAAUCUUCCCUAGAUAUCACAAAGGCCUCAUGCCAUCUACUAAACUGAUUAACUAUGACCAGUAAGUAUUGCUGUUUCUUACCAAUUUUGGAUACAUGAAUAAAAUCAAUCUGUAAGUGUGUAAAAAGAGCAGCGUUCACACGAUCUUACAAAAGACUGUACAUGCUGCCUGAGAUUCCUAAUAUAAAAUGAAUUCAUGAGGAAUUGAAUGGUGCUUGCUAUGUGCCUGACUGAUGAAAAUAAAUCAGCUUGCUUCAAGUAUGCCUAUUCUUCAAGUAUGCCUAUUCUCCCCUCUUUAGAGAACAGAUCAUUUUGAUCUUUCUCUAAACCUUGUUUAAUCCAAAAGACAGAUUCUGGGUAUUAAAAAAAGAAUCUCAUAACCACUGAAGCGCUGGGCUGUCAUGUGUUGUAUGGUGAUAUUUAUUAUCAGCUGAGUGACCUGGUGACUGGCAUGAAGUAUUGUAGGAUGCCCUAGUGUGAUAGUAGUAGCAGUUUCAACAGCCAUUGCACAUGCUAUCAAUGCUCUGAGACACGCCGGCAUACCCUGUACCGGAGCUUGAACUACUUUGGAAAAGAAUGCUAUGGGACGCAUACCGCCUCCUUGCUCUUGUGCACAGACCGCGGCCAUGGUUUUACAAUUGUCCCAAGCAUACAAAUGAAAUGGUUUACAAUACACAGGUAGUCCUAAAGCCUGGGCUUGCACAAUAACAACUGUAAGGGCAAUAUAUGCAGCUAGCAUGUCUGGUGACCAGCAGACAUUUUCAGGGCUGUCAGAACGUACAGCCUCCCUUAGGAUUGAGUCAUAAUGGGAGCAUUCAGGGAUCCAUGGUGGCAGUAAUUAAUCAUGCCGAGGAAGGUGAGCAACUCCUUCCGAAUAGUGGGUGUAGGAAUCCUCUGAAUGACCUCAAUACGUUUUGGACUCAAUUGUCUGGUGCCUAAAGCCAGAACAAAACCUAAGUAUUCAACCUUUGAUUUACACAAUUGCAUUUUGUGUUUAACAACCUUGUGACCUACAGUUGCUGACAGUAUCCACAGUGCUUGCCUCAUAGCUAGGGCUACAUAACAACAAAUCAUCAACAUUUUGCAAAAAGGACGGAACCAUGACCGGUGGUCCAUGUUUUUUAGAGUAUGUUGGAGUACCAACGAAUAAACAGCUGGGGAAUCCACAUAGCCUUGGGUAAGCGUGUCCAGGUAAACUGACAGCCUUCAAAAAGUAAAAACCAUAAGUAGCUGUGUCUCUUGAUCAAUAGGUAUAGAAAAAAUGCAUUACUU